UACGAAGGGGGCUAGCGUUGCUCGGAAUCACUGGGCGUAAAGCGCACGUAGGCGGAUUUUUAAGUUAGGGGUGAAAUCCCGGGGCUCAACCCCGGAACUGCCUUUAAUACUGGCAAUCUCGAGUCCGAGAGAGGUGAGUGGAAUUCCGAGUGUAGAGGUGAAAUUCGUAGAUAUUCGGAGGAACACCAGUGGCGAAGGCGGCUCACUGGCUCGGUACUGACGCUGAGGUGCGAAAGCGUGGGGAGCAAACAGG
rnacentral:rRNA from 1 species